AUGGAGUAUGACGAGCGAUACACGGAGUAUAUCCGGAAGACCGGGCUUCUCCCUUUCAUCUCACUCGUGUCUCGUUCGAUGCCGAAGAUGAACCCUUGUGCGAUCACGGCACUCGUUGGCCGAUGGAGCCCUGAGACACAUACUUUUCACUUCUAUGUUGGGGAGAUGACGGUCACUUUGCAGGAUGUUUCUCUGAUA
rnacentral:rRNA from 1 species